UAGAUGAUGUUCUGAACCAUU
rnacentral:piRNA from 1 species